rnacentral:pre_miRNA from 1 species
UACCGAAGUUUUCCUCGGCAGUUAACUACAGCCGAUUUCAUAAUUCGGCAGUUAACUGCCGAGGGGCAU